UACGUAGGGUGCAAGCGUUGCCCCGGAUUUAUUGGGCGUAAAGGGCGCGCAGGCGGCCCGGCGCGUCCGCGGUGAAAGCUCCCGGCUCAACUGGGAGAGGUCCGCGGAGACGGUCGGGCUCGAGCAAGGUAGGGGGUCGUGGAAUUCCCGGUGUAGUGGUGAAAUGCGUAGAUAUCGGGAGGAACACCAGUGGCGAAGGCGACUUCCUGGCCUGUUCUUGACGCUGAGGCGCGAAAGCUAGGGGAGCAAACGGGAUUAGAUACCCGUGUAGU
rnacentral:rRNA from 1 species